GAUGAACGCUAGCGGCAGGCUUAACACAUGCAAGUCGAGGGGUAUAGGUUUUCGGACCUAGAGACCGGCGCACGGGUGCGUAACGCGUAUGCAAUCUACCUUUCACAGAGGGAUAGCCCAGAGACAUUUGGAAUAAUACCUCAUAGUAUAGCAGUUUCGCAUGAAACAACUAUUAAAGUUCCAACGGUGAAAGAUGAGCAUGCGUCCCAUUAGCUAGAUGGUAAGGUAACGGCUUACCAUGGCUACGAUGGGAAGGGGUCCUGAGAGGGAGAUCCCCCACACUGGUACUGAGACACGGACCAGACUCCGACGGGAGGCAGCAGUGAGGAAGAUUGGUCAAUGGACGCAAGUCUGAACCAGCCAUGCCGCGUGCAGGAUGACGGUCCUAUGGAUUGUAAACUGCUUUUGUACGAGAAGAAACAGUCAGACGUGUCGGAACUUGACGGUAUCGUAAGAAUAAGGAUCGGCUAACUCCGUGCCAGCAGCCGCGGUAACAC
rnacentral:rRNA from 1 species